rnacentral:rRNA from 1 species
UACGUAGGGGGCAAGCGUUGUCCGGAAUCAUUGGGCGUAAAGAGCGUGUAGGCGGCCCGGUAAGUCCGCUGUGAAAGUCCAGGGCUCAACCCUGGGAUGCCGGUGGAUACUGUCGGGCUCGAGUCCGGGAAGAGGAGUGUGGAAUUCCUGGUGUAGCGGUGAAAUGCGCAGAUAUCGUAAGGAAGACCAGUGGCGAAGGCGGGUCUCUGGACAGUUCCUGACGCUGAGGCACGAAGGUCAGGGGAGCAAACGGG